ensembl:misc_RNA Y_RNA Y RNA
CUAUGGUCAGAGUGCACUGGUGUUUACAACUAAUGGAUCACAACCAGUCACAGAUUUCUCUGUUCCUUCUCUACUUCCACUGCAUCACUUGACUUAAC